rnacentral:rRNA from 1 species
UACGUAGGGUGCGAGCGUUAAUCGGAAUUACUGGGCGUAAAGCGUGCGCAGGCGGUUCGUUAAGUCAGAUGUGAAAGCCCCGGGCUCAACCUGGGAACUGCAUUUGAAACUGGCGGGCUUGAGUAUGGCAGAGGGGGGUGGAAUUCCGCGUGUAGCAGUGAAAUGCGUAGAGAUGCGGAGGAACACCGAUGGCGAAGGCAGCCCCCUGGGUUAACACUGACGCUCAUGCACGAAAGCGUGGGGAGCAAACAGG